rnacentral:rRNA from 1 species
CAGCAGCCGCGGUAAUACGUAGGUGGCAAGCGUUAUCCGGAUUUAUUGGGCGUAAAGCGAGCGCAGGCGGUCUUUUAAGUCUAAUGUGAAAGCCUUCGGCUCAACCGAAGAAGUGCAUUGGAAACUGGGAGACUUGAGUGCAGAAGAGGACAGUGGAACUCCAUGUGUAGCGGUGAAAUGCGUAGAUAUAUGGAAGAACACCAGUGGCGAAGGCGGCUGUCUGGUCUGCAACUGACGCUGAGGCUCGAAAGCAUGGGUAGCGAACAGGAUUAGAUACCCUGGUAGUCCAUGCCGUAAACGAUGAUUACUAAGUGUUGGAGGGUUUCCGCCCUUCAGUGCUGCAGCUAACGCAUUAAGUAAUCCGCCUGGGGAGUACGACCGCAAGGUUGAAACUCAAAAGAAUUGACGGGGGCCCGCACAAGCGGUGGAGCAUGUGGUUUAAUUCGAAGCUACGCGAAGAACCUUACCAGGUCUUGACAUCUUCUGACAGUCUAAGAGAUUAGAGGUUCCCUUCGGGGACAGAAUGACAGGUGGUGCAUGGUUGUCGUCAGCUCGUGUCGUGAGAUGUUGGGUUAAGUCCCGCAACGAGCGCCACCCUUAUUACUAGUUGCCAGCAUUAAGUUGGGCACUCUAGUGAGACUGCCGGUGACAAACCGGAGGAAGGUGGGGACGACGUCAAAUCAUCAUGCCCCUUAUGACCUGGGCUACACACGUGCUACAAUGGAUGGUACAACGAGUCGCGAGACCGCGAGGUUAAGCUAAUCUCUUAAAACCAUUCUCAGUUCGGACUGUAGGCUGCAACUCGCCUACACGAAGUCGGAAUCGCUAGUAAUCGCGGAUCAGCAUGCCGCGGUGAAUACGUUCCCGGGCCUUGUACACACCGCCCGUCACACCAUGAGAGUUUGUAACACCCAAAGCCGGUGGGGUAACCUUUUAGGAGCUAGCCGUCUAAGGUGGGACAGAUGAUUAGGGUGAAGUCGUAACAAGGUAACA